ACCCUCGCCUUUGCCCUUGCCGAGCCCUCGCCACCGCCACACCUCAGCCCCCUCGCAACCACGACAGCACCUCAGCCCGCUCGCCGCCGCGUUCGCGCGUCAGCCCGCUAGACAUCCUCGCCUCCGCGGUCGCACCUCUGCCCGCUCGCCGCCCCCGUCGCAACCCAACGCCCCCUCCAAUGGAUGCCGCCCGAACUACAUCAUCCUAUAGGACGCCGGCCGCGGCGUCACGAAGUUGCUGGUAUCGCCCAGUUCGCCGUGGGUGAAGGCGCCUCAGACGCAAGCGAAGCUGCAGCUUCCUCAACGUAUGCCUCACCGUGGGGCUCGCUGUGCUGCUGGCGGACAGCGCGACCCCGCUGGUGUGGUGCGAGACUUCCAGAUCACCCGACGGCUGGGGUUGGAGGAUGGCAUUCCCACAACUCCUCAUCGGGGGUGAGCGUGGCCUGGAGCAGCAAGCCCAUAGCUCCCUCAACCAUCAUGCUAAUCUCUUCUUGUUAUUCAUCCUGAAUCUAUGGUGCACAUACAGUACAUGCUUAUGUAUUGUCUCAAUGAUUAUCCUAUUUUUUUAGGAUUCAACUUGCGUUUUGUGCAAUUUCAUAUACUCAAUCAAUAAAUUCUCAGUUUUUUUGCAGGAUUUGUGUUUGUUCGGAUGCUUAGGUGCAGCUGCAUCAAGGGAAUUGGCCGACGGUGUGCAAUACAUAGACAAAGCAAAAGUCAGUAUGGAGCAAAUACGAGUUCGGUUGCUCUUCUGACAAUUUCACCUUGAUUUUGUUGUUAGUGACUGAUUGAGGCGUCACUCCCACCACGGUGGUGACGGCAACCUUCCCCCUCCAGCCGUUGUGGUCGCAGCGUACCGCUCCAAUGCCAUCUGACACAACCGUCUUGUGGUGGAGGAGGGCCACCUCGAACACAUUGGGAAGCGGUGAGCGUGGGCUUCGCCACAUGUUCUGCCGAGUCAUCGAUGUCAGUUUCUAGGUUUGUGAGUGCACUGUCUGGUGCUUCUUUUUACGAUGUCUGUCAACACAAGCACAGCGUGCUCCAAGUAUGAACGGAGAGAGUGCUCCCAUUGGGUUCUACAUGUGGACAUUGUGGCCGGUGAGGCAUAACUGUAAGUUUCUCUGAUGGUCGACAACAAGGUACCCCGCUGCUCUGAAUUUUUACAUGGUUAAUGUGAGUUGAAUCAUCAAAGGUCUGCGCGUUGGUAAUGGUUGAAAAAUUCAUUGCAUUUGAGAAAACUGAUCAGUCUAUCAGUUCUCUAAUAAUACAUAUUACAGAAUGUACCUUUCUGUCCGAUCGUAGGAUCACUGCACAACAGGCUUUGGAGCAGGCUCUGAUUCACGGAGAACUCCCCAGCAACCUCAUCUUUUGUGGAUAUUAGAUGGAUAUUGAAUCCAACUACCUCUGCCUAAAGAUUUGAGGUGUGACUCAAAUUUCGUGCUGUUAGAAAUCAACAAUGGAGAUUUCAGUUUUUUCAUGUAUAUUCGUACGAAUUUCAAGUUUAAUGGAUCAUUAAAUUUUAUUCUAUAAUCAGAUCUUGGUAUGUUUUCAGAUUUUUCAGAGAAGAAAGAAGUCUAGAGGCGUGGAUGUAUGUUUUUAGGGGGGAAUCAAGUCUGCAGAAUAUACACUAAUUUGAGGAAUUCAGAUGUUACCCUUGGUCAUACAGGGAAAGUGUGAAGCACUCUGGCCAAUUUUCCGCAUUUCUCAUCCAAGAAGCCGUUACAUUU